rnacentral:rRNA from 1 species
CCUACGGGAGGCAGCAGUGGGGAAUAUUGCGCAAUGGGCGAAAGCCUGACGCAGCGACGCCGCGUGAGGGAUGAAGGUCUUCGGAUCGUAAACCUCUGUCAGCAGGGAAGAACGGUCACUGUGCUAAGCAGCAGUGAAUUGACGGUACCUGCAAAGGAAGCACCGGCUAACUCCGUGACAGCAGCCGCGGUAAUACGGAGGGUGCGAGCGUGAAUCGGAAUUACUGGGCGUAAAGCGCUCGUAGGCGGUAUGUCAAGUCAAGGGUGAAUUCCCCGCGCUCCACGUGGGAACUGCCUUUGUAACUGGCAAACUGGCGUGUGUGCGCGGCUAGUGUGAUUCCGGGUGU